rnacentral:rRNA from 1 species
UAACGGCGAGUGAAGAGGGAAGAGCUCAGUUUUGUCAUCUGGCAGUCAUUCACUGUCCGAGUUGUAAAUUGAAGAGAUUGUCAUCCACACUGGACCAUGUCUAAAUUGUAAUGAUCCAGCCCUAUGAUGGAGUAUCAGAGAGGGUAAUACUCCCGUCUUUAACGUGGACUCGCCAGUGUUUAUGUGAUGCAUUCUCUCAGAGUCGAAUAGUGUGGACAAUUAGGCUCCUCUAAACGGAGAGGUAAGAUCCUUCUAAAGCUUAAUUAUCAGGCGAGAGACC